rnacentral:rRNA from 1 species
GACGUAGGGCGCGAGCGUUGUCCGGAUUUAUUGGGCGUAAAGAGCGUGUAGGCGGUUAUGCAGGUCCGCUGUGAAAACUGGAGGCUUAACCUCCAGACGUCGGUGGAAACCGUAUGACUAGAGUCCGGAAGAGGAGAGUGGAAUUCCUGGUGUAGCGGUGAAAUGCGCAGAUAUCAGGAAGAACACCCGUGGCGAAGGCGGCUCUCUGGGACGGUACUGACGCUGAGACGCGAAAGCGUGGGGAGCGAACAGG